AUUGAACGCUGGCUGCAGGCCUAACACAUGCAAGUCGAGCGAGCGGCUGACGGGUGAGUAAUGUCUGGGAAACUGCCUGUUGGAGGGGGCUAACUACUGGAAACGGUAGCUAAUACCGCAUACCAUCUUAGGUUCCCAGAUGGGAUUAGCUAGUAGGUGGGGUAACGGCUCACCUAGGCGACGAUCCCUAGCUGGUCUGAGAGGAUGACCAGCCACACGGGAACUGAGACACGGUCCAGACUCCUACGGGAGGCAGCAGUGGGGAAUAUUGCACAAUGGGUGCAAGCCUGAUGCAGCCAGGCCGCGUGGGUGAAGAAGGCCUUCGGGUUGUAAAGCACUUUCAGCGGGGAGGCGUUACCCGCAGAAGAAGCACCGGCUAACUCCGUGCCAGCAGCCGCGGUAAUAC
rnacentral:rRNA from 1 species